AUUACUGGCACACUGUGAUCAUAAACAAGAAUCGGCGCAGUCCACAGGAACACGAGGGGGACGGAAGGCGGAAGCCCUUCACUGAUGGCGUCACAGGAUCUAGAUGGAUUCUGGGCAGGACUAAAACCAAUCGGUUACCAGAGCAUUCAGUUUUGAAUUCCCAAAUCACGGCAACCAGAGGAGGAAAGAUUCAUGAAUAUAUUUUCUUGUUCUUGAAGUCAAGUAACCAAAGUCAUCAAUCAAGAAGAUGAGACAGGCCAGGAUUCGUUAAACCUAAUUCUACUUUACACCAAAUUGUAAUAACAAAAACAAGGCAAUUACCAGAGCUGGGAAGAAGCAUGUAAAGCAUUGCAGUCAUCAGGGUUGGACACUGCAGCCCCCUCCAAUGCAGACACUCUAAGCCUGGCAGGAACUGCGUGCACCAGCUACCCCCACCCCAAUUGUGGUUGUAAGAGGGAAGUAAGGUAAUUAGUAUGUGACAGGGGAUGGGGUGGCAGCAUUUGGAGGAGUUGGAGCCCGUGGGCCUCAGUGGGCCCCAGACACCCCAGUCCAACACUGGCGGUGAAGAGAGCUAACUUCAAUAUUGUUUCAAGGGUCAGAACCAGCAAUGCAGAAAUGGACAAAUACAGCUUUUUAAAGAUAGCUAGAGGUCAGUAGUUAACAUUGCUGCUAAGGAUAUUUGUUUGUUUUUUUUGUCCAUACAGUGUGUAAUUAUUUAUAUGCUGACCCAGGAAAAGAAGGUUAAUCUCACAUAAGCUGUCUGUUACCGGUCUCCUGUCCCCAUUUUAUCUCUGUAGCAUUAUAAGAGGUGUCAACUCAAUCCAGGCCAACUAGUGACAUUUGAUUUAUGGUAUUUUAGUAUAGUUUCCCUCUUUUCAGAUCAAGUUGUAAAGAACAGACAUUUGGUAUGCAAGUUUAUACCAAAUUUAUAUCUCCUUGUAUUAUCAUAUUUCUGUCACAGAGAUUAAGCAGAAUAUGCCAUGCAUUGCAAUAUUCACAUUCCACAGUAAGGCAAUGCAUUUAAUUCUGCGCUAGUGAGUCUUUACUCAUGGUGCCAAAUACUAAUGAAAAAAUACAGGUACGGAAUCUGUUAUCCCGAAAACGUUAUCCAAAAAGCUCUGAAUUACAGAAAGGCCACAGCCAUAGGGGCAGAUUCAC